GGCAUGCUCUGUGCAGUGUCCUCGUGCACUUGACCGUGAGAGGGCCAUGAAUCGCGUCCUGCCGCUGCUGGUGGGGGCGUCCCUGCUCACCCCUGGCCUGGGUGAGAUUUUCUCCCGACGUGAGUGUGGAGACGUCCAAGGGGACUUUUACCAGUUCUCCGCCAAGCUUCUGAAUGACUCUCAGGACAUCAACUUCGACCAGUUCAGAGGCAAGGUGGUUUUGGUGGUGAACGUAGCCACUUACUGAGGCCUCACCACCGCCUCCUACCACCAGAUGAAUGCACUGGCAGAGUUUUACGAAAACCAGGAUCUCGUCAUUCUUGGUUUUCCAUGUAACCAAUUUGGUAAGCAAGAGCCGGGAGCCAACGCCACAGAGAUCUUCAAUGGGAUCCAACAUGUCCGGCCUGGAGGAGGCUUCCAGACUAUGGUGACUCUCUUCCAGAAGACGGAGGUGAACGGCAUCAAUGAGAACAAGAUCUUCACGUUCUUGAAGAGUGCUUGUGAGUAUACAGACACAGACUUCUCGUCUAAAGUGUUCUACGAGCCAAAGAGAGUUGGGGACAUCCACUGGAAUUUCGAGAAGUUCCUAAUCGGUAGGAAUGGCAAGCCUCGAACCCGGUACCACCCCAGAGUAACUAACCCCGAGGAUCUCAAGAGCGACAUCAGUAAUCUGCUGUACGAACUGCCUCCUGAAGUUCCUGACGUUCCUGAGGACCCAGGCGUAAUUGUGACAACCAAAAAGCCUUUCCUGCGUAGAAUUUCUCAGCUCUUUAGCGGGUAGCCCACGUGUUGCCUCAGAACUUCCAGUUCCUCUUCCUAGCCACGCCCAUCCUGGUACAGCCCCGUCCAUGAUGACGCCGCUAAAAACCCUCAGGUGGGCGGCGUCUGAAGAAGUCAGGAGAAAGUAGCCUCUUGUGCAUUCUGGCUGCGAUUUUACUGCCUGCGGGAUGUUGUCCAGGCUGGGCCGGGCUGGAAGGGCUACUAGGACACUUAAUAUAAUACACAAAAGUUAGAUGAUUAUAUUCCAGUGAUAUAAAAUAUACUUAAUAAACUGUUUCUGUAUUUA